rnacentral:tRNA from 1 species
GAUGAUGUGGUCGGCGGACGCAAGCGACUUGCGGACCGAAACCGCAGGCGGAUGAUCCUGAACAUCGGACGCCGGUUCGGGCUCGGCCGACGUUUCCA